GGCUACACAUAUAUGAUAUUAACUUAUGAGUGAUACCAUCGACUAAACGUCUAAACCACUCAUCGAUUUUUCAAAUGGGCACAUCAAUCUUGGUUUAGACCAAUAGGACAAUUCCUGUACAAGUAGGAACCACUAGAUAAAGAGAAUAGGUUGGGAAAUAAAACCUUUUUUUUUUUUCUCUCGCCUCUCUCUUCCCUUUCACGCCCGCCGCCAAGUCUUUUCUAGAUCUGUUCUCUUCUCUGGCGCCGGUGGCUUCCUAAGCACCGUUAGUUUCUUCUUCUUCUCCUCUAGAUCUGGUUCCCAUCAGUGUUUGUGGUUGCAGCAGAGUAAGGGUUUCGUUGGUGGCUCCUCUCACGAUGGUGGCGCAGGUUCAACGGCGUCGUUGGUCUUUGCGGUGGAGGAUGGAAGUCUUCUUCUCGCAUGGUCGGUUUCUUCUCCUUGUUCGCCUCGUACUCCUCGGCGAAUUCUCUCUCUUGUUGACUGCAUUUUUCCUUCCGGCAGUUCCCUCAGCUCUCUUCUGUGAGUUCUUCUGGUCGGUGGCGUUUCUCUUGCUUUCCUCGGUGGUGGUGUGGUGGCAAGCCUCACUUUUCCCCGAUUAAAGACCCUCCAAAGUCUCCUAGUGUUGUCUCUGUUUCCAAUCUCCGCAGAUCCAAGGGCCACUACCGCGGAGAACACACUUUUGGCCACAGCUAGGAGCUAGGAGUCUCUGGCUGCGGCCAAACCCUAAUUCACCACGGUUGGAAGCCUCACGACCAGGGCCAACUAAAAGGCAAGCCCACGACCCUGUUUCAAGCCCAAUUCGUUUUCACUUCAAAGAAAAUCCUAAGGACGACUGGACAGAGUUGAAGACCUAUAAAUAUGUAUCAUAGCAGACCUAUAUUCGUGUGCCUCAUAAGAAUUCCUUUUGGGAGCGUUUUUAGUUUAGGGAGAUAUAAAUUUUUUUUGAACCCUCUUUAUGUUCUACCUUUACUUUAUGCAAUCUUUAAACUCAGUUUUUACUUUUAUGGCUUUCUAUUUGGUUUCUACUUUCUUCAUAUUAGAUUAGCUUGUUUAAAGGAUUUGAAGAGAACUUUUCCCGAGCCUAGAUCUCGAAAUCGAGAUGCGUCUUCUCCUUUCCAGGGCUAGAGUGGAAACCUACUGGUCAGGGUCGCGAAAAACAAUUGGUUAUGACCACGAGAGUGGUGUAGUCAUACCAUCGUGGUUCGAGUUCUAAGAAUUUACUAGGAUCAAUUUUAAGAGCUUUGUUUUGCGCGAUUUGAAUCGAUCAUAUCCCGUAGACAUCCUUUAUUUCAACAUCGACUUAUUCACUUCUAGUUUAGUUUUAUUUUUCUUCUUAACAUACAUAUAUAUAUAAAUCGUGACAACCUAUCCAAAACCCCGUUUUUCAUCUUAGACUUCGUUUACUAAUUAUGGUUCUGCAGGUAAAGCUUGAAUUCUUUGUGGAUCAAUACCCUAAGUACUACAAUGCACAAAUGUGCACUUGCAGAUAACUAGGGUUAUAAAUUUAAAACAUGAAGCCACAAAGUAAACCCUAGCCCGCAUCAAGUUUUUGGCGCCGUUGCCAGGGAAUCCAAUCGUCUUCAUCUGCACUAUUUCAGAGAUUAGUAAAUCGACUCUAAGACAACUAUUUCUUACUAAUUUUCGGUUUUGUUUUUCUUAGUUUUAGGUCUUUGAAAAAAAUGGUGUCCGACCCGCAAUCGUGCUUGGCCGACCCGCGGUCGUGCCGCGAUCAUGCCUGCUCGACCCAUGGUUGUACCUGCUCGACCUGCGGUCGUACCAUCUCGACCUAUAAUGAAUUUUCUUGUACCAGAUCGAUGGCAUGACGACUUCCAUCCAUUCCCCUUCACACCUUCAACCGUCCACCACCCUUUACCAUCACCACACCACCAUACGUCCAGGUAAGUUUUCUUUUUCUUUAUCUUUUCAAUUCAUUGCAUAUUUUUUUUCUCAUCCUUACUCUGAUUUAUCUCACAUCUCGGCAAAGGAGGAUUUCAUCCCUCUCUAACCACCUUUCUUUUAUGAGUCUUUGAAUUCUACAAUUUUCUCUUAAAAAAAAAAAUCAAAUUUUCAAAGUGUUUUCAAAGUAUAAAUACGUUUUGAGGGAAUGAUGACAAAAAUAUAUGAUGAUUACCAACCUGUAUGCCUUUACACUAUGCAUGACAGCUCUUUUGUGGUUAGUACUAAACUAGGCGGUUGCUAGGAUACUUGCAAUACGAACUCCCAACAGAGGACUUCUAUUCAUGGAGAUUCUUUCUGACAGGAUCUACUAGCUCAUUUUAUUUGGAAUUAAUAUUGAUAUCUAAUUUUCUCAUCAUUGAUUUUAGACAGGCAUCAUGUUAUACAUCUAGGACAUAUUUUUUCCUCAUUUUUACCACUCUUUGUUGUCCUAGAUGGCCAAUUCAUCUUCAGCUGGUACCAAACCCUUAACCCCAAACCUUUAUUUUUGAACCUCGUGUAUCCUCUCUUUAGUUUAUAUCAGCAGAUAUGUGCAAAAACGCCGGAGAGGGAAGAACGACACAGUUUUCAGUCACUCAAGAGAAUGACUGAAUGGAAUUAGGAAGGAGCAAUCUUUAGCCGCCUCAGAAAGCUUAUUUUUAAUGGUAAUUUUCGUGUGUCUCUAAGACUCUCUAUCAAAAAUCGUUUCCCCUUUCUAAAAAAAAUGGAAAAAAAAAGAGAAAGAGAAAGAAAGAUAAUAGAAAAGAAAGGAAACAAAAGUCUAAAGAGUCUUAGAUUGUCAAAAUUAUUUGGAGCAAAGGCAACUAUAUUCAUCUAUGGAGUUAUGGUUUUAUAAGGAGAACCUAAACAAAGAUCUAAGUCUGGGAGAAUUAUAAGGAGAACCUGAAGAAGAAGAUCAGAGAUCUUAUGGCAAGAAAAAGAUGACUGGAAACUGUGGACAUCAAUAGCUCCAUAUUUUCUUGUUGUUUUGCAUAAUAUCAUGCUUUUUCAGAGAUUAAGGUAACCCUAAACACUUUAAACCUCACCUCUAAAAAGCUCUCUGAAUACAUAUCCUUGAUUUUUCCUUGUUUAUUUUUCUUUUGAUGAGAACCACUGAAAAUUUUCAUGAAUAUUAAGAGCUAGUUGACUGAAAGUUAGGUCUAAGUGUGUAGACUUUCGCAUGACGGAUCAACGGACUAGUUAUGCUUGUAUUUUGGUGAGAAGUUUCUAGGCUACACCCAAUAGAUGCAUUAUGAUCGAUUAUAGUCUAGGAGUAUGGUUUCUGAUGAUUUUUGAGUUCCCUAUGAUUUCUGUUAAAGGCCCUUUCUAGGCUUGGAUCUUGCUUUGUUUGAGGACAAACAAAAGUUUAAGUCUAGGAGAGUUGAUAACAUCGUAUUUUGACCACUUUUAUGGAUCGCUUUUAAAUGCUUUUCAAAUGUUUUUUGUUUAUUUUAAGUGUUUUUAUUAUGUUUUUCUAGUAUUUGUAGUUCCAAGACUAUUUUCAGGUAAUUAAGGCAAAAAGAGUGCAUUAUGUAGCAAAAGAUGAUUUUGGAUAAACUCAGGCUGUCAGAAGUUUCACAUCUGAUGAAGAUCUUUUCACCGUCCGAUCAUCUCCAAAAUUAGAUUUCAGAUAAAUGAGACAACUAGCUUUCCGAUGCAAUUGGUUUGGAGACAAUCCAAUGGUUAGAUCUCCAGAUAUCCUUGAUGCACUGAAGAUAUGUUCUGUAGUCUCGCAAAGGAGGCAAGCGCAGAAUGAAGAUUCAACCUUAUAAGCCAAUCUCCGCGUGUCGAGGGGCCACGACCGUGGAGAAAACACUCUUGGCCACGGUUAGGACUCUCAGGCCGAGGCCAAACCCUAAUUCACCAUGGUUGGAAGCCUCACGACCAGGGCCGACUAAAAGGCAAGCCCACGAUCCCUUUUCAAGCCCAAUUCGUCUCCUCUUCGAAGAAAGCCCUAAGGACGAGUGGACAGGAUUGAAGACCUAUAAAUAUGUAUCAUAGCAGACCUAUUUUCGUGUGCCUUCAUAAGAAUCCCUUUUUGGAGCCACCAAAUUUAGUUUUUCUAGGGUUUUUAUGUUCUUAUGUUCUUAGUUCUUAGUUUAGGGAGAUAGAGAUUUCUCUUGAACCUCUUUAUGUUCUACCUUUAAUUUAUGCAAUAUUUAAGCUCAUUUUUUAUUUUAUGUCUUUCAGUUUCGUUUUUAC
rnacentral:lncRNA from 1 species